rnacentral:rRNA from 1 species
CCGAAAGCUAUUUAGGUAGCGCCUCGGACGAAUACUACUGGGGGUAGAGCACUGUUAAGGCUAGGGGGUCAUCCCGACUUACCAACCCUUUGCAAACUCCGAAUACCAGUAAGUACUAUCCGGGAGACACACGGCGGGUGCUAACGUCCGUCGUGGAGAGGGAAACAACCCAGACCGCCAGCUAAGGUCCCAAAGUAUUGCUAAGUGGGAAACGAUGUGGGAAGGCUCAGACAGCUAGGAUGUUGGCUUAGAAGCAGCCAUCAUUUAAAGAAAGCGUAAUAGCUCACUAGUCGAGUCGGCCUGCGCGGAAGAUGUAACGGGGCUAAGCAAUACACCGAAGCUGCGGCAAUGUCUUUUAGACAUUGGGUAGGGGAGCGUUCUGUAAGCCGUUGAAGGUGAAUCGUAAGGUUUGCUGGAGGUAUCAGAAGUGCGAAUGCUGACAUGAGUAACGACAAAGGGGGUGAAAA